UUUCGGUAUUCACAAAGGAUGGAUUCUUUCCCCUAGAAAAUGAAGUGUGCGAGGUUUGGAGGUAUGGCUCUAUAAAUACCUGUUAAUAUAUUAAUUGAUCUUCUUGAAGUGGUGUUUUUUUAAUUUGGUUUAGGAUAGUUAGCAACUUCUGAACUCUGUAUUGAGUGAUUGAUUUGAUGCAUCCCCAAUUAUUCACAUCUGCUGGAGAAAUUUUUUGCCUUUGAGAAGGACGUGGCUUUAUAAAAGAUGCGCGUGUCUAAGAAAAGUGCCUGAUGGAUCCUCUUGGAUUUUCUUGCUGAUCAUCCUAUUGUGACUAGUCUAGCUGAUGAAAGUGCCUCUCAGCUGUCUUUGCUGAGGGACUAUAUACUUACACAAACACCUUAAACUUGCACAAGGGUAAGCGAGUGAGCUGCCUCUUUUCUCUUGAAAUAUGCUUCAACUUUACAAUUUUGGUUUUGAAAGUGUUUAUCUUGUUUGCUUUUUAAAGUUGUUAUUGAUCAUCAGAACUUGUGAACUAACAUUGAAGCUUGGUACUUUGAUGCACUGCCUUGAUAUAUGUAUAUGAUGCAUCUUCCAGGUUUCAUUAGGGUAACUGUAUCCACUUUCCUUGUUGAGUUGAUUUUGGGCCAUAAAAAUAAGAAGAAAAGGGAUGUAUUAUCACUAAGCAAGUUUCGUGGAUGGAGAUAUUUAAUCAUUCUGGUGGUUGGGAUUUACAUGUAUACAAUAACUGCCUCUCAUUUUUGUUCAAACAUAAUAAAGUUGGUUUCAAAGCACCGCCUUCGAUGGUCUUUUCCAAAGUAGCUAUGACGAUUUGCCACUAGAGUUUUUUCUUCCAAACUUUUGUUACAUAAAUAUGUUACCAUGGAUCGUCCAUGUUUUAUGUUGGUUAAAUCAUCAACUUUUGAUUAUUGAAGUUGCGCUGGAGAGACUUGGUUGAAUUAAGUCAUUGUUUAUUUUGUGCAAUAAACAAAAAUGAAGAAAUUCCCCAGCACUGUAUGUGUGUGGGCAUGUGUGGGCAUAUUUAUGAAUUAAACAGUUAUGGCCUAUAUGAGUAUUGAAGGGAAAAAGAAGAAUAAGAAUGUGAAUAACUUUCUCUUAUGCUAUGGAACUGAUUACGGUUUUUACUAUUUCUUUGAUAUUCUCUGUUUCUUGCACACUUCUUGCUUCUUCUUUUUUCCACUUUUCUAAAGAGGUAAUCGCUACUGAGUUGGAAGAAAUAGAAAGGGAUGAGAAAGUCAGAUUUAAAAGGUUUAAAGGGGAGACCUGCGUGCUGUUAGAAUCAAGAAAAGUAGAGAAGAUGUCUGUAGAAAUAGAUUUUUGGGGGGGGGGGGCGCUUGCUUAAAAAUGUUGAUGGUAGUGAUGAAGAUGGAAUGUCAAUGGUAGCAAUGAAGAUGAGUGUGCAGUUAGAGGGAGGGAGAGAGGAAAAUGAAAUAAGAGAGAAGAAAGAUAUAAAUUUGUGAAAGUGAAUAGCAAAAUUCAAAUUUAUAGGAUAAUUACGAAGAAUUUGAAGACACGGGAGCAGGAUAUAAUUAGAAAUGAAAAGGCUAAUUGUCUUUUAUUGUGGUGGCUACAAAAUAGUUAUGAGUAGAAUGGAGAGAGAUUAAGAACACAGCCAAUUGCCAUGCGUGUGAUACUUUGUGGAGGCCCUGUAAGUACAUUGUCCACAUACCGUGUCUGCUUAAAAUUUCAUAAUCAUUGUUGCCAGUACAAGGAGUGACUAGAAAACUACGUAUUCCAAGUGAUAAUGUGCUAUUGGCUUUUUCCGUUGUAUGUUUGGAUUUGUAAUCAUAGUUCUUGACAAGCAUGCCAUUCCCAUGAAUUUAGCAUCAUCUAUCAUUUUCAUACUCUAUUCAAAGUUGUGGGCAAUGGGAAAUCUUUAUUUAAAUCUAGUCACAAGUUAGAUUAUGUUUAGAUUAAGCUGAGAAUAUGGUGCUCGUUGGCCACAACAUUUGUCCUUGGGAACCUUGCUCAUGCUUCAUUCAGAUCCUUCAUUGUUUAAAUUCAUUAUGGAUGAUAUUCGUGAUAUGUCACUCUAGAGUGUGAAUAUUGGCAAUUAUUAUUAUAUUGCAAUUUGCAUCUGAAUGUUUCAUGCUUCCACUCGUACAUGAUAGUAGGCAUCAUGUCACUUUGGAAAAGUUCUGGGUAUUGGAAUCCUCGGUGCACUGCUUUGCACUUCUGAUUUGUUAGUCAUGUCCCAAAUAAAUCUCUUGUCAUUAUUGAUGUUUUGACUCUCGAGAUCCCUUCUCAUCUUUCAAAUCAUGUUAUAGCACAUAGAGAAUGGUGAAAAAAUGCCAUGAUAACAAGUUCAUUACAUCUCAAUUUCUUACUUGAUGAAAUGGCUAUGGUAAUGCAGAUGUUUCCACAUUCCCACUCACAGUUUUGUGGUUGAUUUUGGACUUGGAAUUAUCUCCCAAGAGAGCUAUCUUUUCUAACUUGCCCCUGCCUCCAUUGGUUGAACAGCUCAGUUCUGCUAGCAUCAUGUGGGUAUAUCUAGUGCUGCCAUUUUUACCUUGUCCAGAACAGCUACUACCAUUACUCGUGCAUUUGUGUUACUCUGCAAAAGCUAAUGGUAUCCGCUGUGCUUUGUUCUCUCAUCAUGAAGACAGACAGAGGGCUUUUCAAAUAUGUGCUUCACAUUUAAAAUUAUAAAGGUUUCCAUCGUUUGUCCCGUAGGCAUCAAAUUAGAUUGGUGGAUAUCAAUUCCAGAAAUGUCAAGGC
rnacentral:lncRNA from 1 species